CAUAAUGCACUGCAAACUCCGUGGUGUGGCAGGUGGGCUGGCAGCUGAAACGAUGGAAAAUGAUAUUUCGAAGUGCACAUCAUCCCUCGACACUUCGAUUGUGCUUCCUCUACCGACUGAAUUAGAAAGUGUGCACGACGUGACUAUAGACAAGAUUGCCGCGAAGCUUCUGAAAGACAAUUUCAUUUUGACCGCUUUGGAAUUGCAUGCCGAGCUCUUGGAAAGCGGCAGGGAACUACCCAGGCUGCGGGACUAUUUUUCUAACCCUGGCAACUUUGAAAAGCAUAGCCACUCGACUUUUGAUGCUUCUCCGGUGCUGCCAAGAACAUCGAGUGUCCAGACAUUUGAUUCUUUGGAUUUCACACGGUAUUCAGAUGACGGAGAGAAACAACUGGAUGAAAGAGUUGCUGUUCUAGAAUUUGAGCUUAGGAAGGCUCGUGAAACCAUCAAAAACCUGCGAGCAAACCUAACUGUUGUUACAGAGUCUGACCCAAACACUCCUGACAAUGGCAGUGAGCACACAACUGUUUCAGAGGAACCAUUGCGCCCUCAUGAGCGGCGAGCUGUCAACUUCCUUCUGAACGAGUAUUUACUAAAGCAUGAUUACAAGCUGACAUCCAUCACUUUUUCAGAUGAGAACGAAGUCCAGGACUUUGAGGACUGGGAUGACGUAGGUCUGAACAUUCCCAAGCCACCCGAUCUGGUGCACCUAUACCGUAGUUACAACAAGCACUCCCGUCUUUGUUGCGAUGUUGUAGAAUGUCAAGUGCAAACUGACUUUGAAGAUUCAAAUGUGCAGCGAGACCUUACAAAUAACUUGGAAGCUCUUGCAGCUGAAAAGGCCGCCCUGGAAGCUGAACUUAACCUAUUAAAGGUGCAUAUGGAGAAGACCAACCAAGAAAAUAUUUUGCUAACAGCAGAGCUGGACAAAGUUUUGUUUUCUCGAGCAGAAUUGUCCUUCAAGCCCAAUUUGCCUUUGGAGGGGGCAGUUGACACAUUGUCUGAUGCUGUAGAACCCUGUACCCCGAGCCCAAGUGUGGCUGUAGUCUCACCAUGCAAGGAGCUGCCAGAGGAAAAGGGCGACUCAGCAAAAAAGCACAUGCCACAGGCACUUACAAUAUGUGUGGCUGAUCAAGUGUGUGAUGAAGAGACAUGUUAUAUGGCUCUUGAUGGCAGGGAGAGUGUCAGCAAACCAGAAGAAUCAGAAGUCCUUAAGAGUACAAGAAAGACGUGUCCAGCCUUUCUUGAGGCCCUUAUGAAUGUAUGCCGACCUCAUUGUGAGCUGUCUGACUCACGCCUUGCGAAAGAUGUGACAUCGGUGGCUUCAUCAGGCGAGGAGGUGGUUCUGAUGCUUGCUCGGUGUCUUCCACAUAUUGUGCCUAAUGUCCUUCUGGCAAAACGAGAGGAGCUGGUUCCCCUGCUCUUGGCAGCCAUCAAUUUGCAUCCGGAUGCUGCUCAACGUGAUGUCCUUCUGAAUCUGUUAUUCAACCUAACGAAGCGCCCUGAUGAUGCACAGCGCAGAGUCAUAUUGGCUGGGCUGCUGUCUGUGGCUGAGUGCUUAGGCCCUGAACGAGUUGAAGCUGAGCUUCUGCCACAGUGCUGGGAGCAAAUAAACCAUAAGUACUUGGAAAGAAGACUUCUGGUGGCAGAGUCUUGUGGCUAUUUGGCAUCGCAAGUAGCCCCUGAGAUUCGUAGCUCCCUGCUGCUGUCCAUGCUACAACAGAUGCUCAAGGAAGAAAAAGAGGACAUGAUCCGUGAAAGGGUUGCACAUAGUUUAGCUGUGCUGCUAGCCUACGUGGAUGACCAAGAUAAGUUUUCUCAGGCAGUUGACCUGGCAUUGCUUGUAGUAGCUGAUGCACAUGCAAGCAUGGCUGAGGUGGCACAGACUGUUUUACUUCCUUCUGUUGCAUCGUGGGCACUAGAAAUAGGCCACCUGGAGGACACGCUGCUUUCCACACUGAUUAAACUUCUUGAAGAUCAUAUAAAGGCCUUGGCACUGCGAUCAGCUGAUGGCCCAACUGCACUUACACAAGCUGAAGAACAACACUCAGUGCAUCUCAUUAAGGCACUUGGAGCCUUGCUACCAUUCCUUUUUGUUCAUGUUGUCGAAACUGGCCCCUACAUGAGCCGCUUGAACCUCACAGACAGCUCCUUGAAGAAUUUGUUGGAAGAUGGUAGACUGCCGCAACCACAAAGCCCACUGUUUGACCCAUUAAAAAUCUCAAAUUAUACUUUAAAAAUGCCAGCUGUGGUAGCAGCAUUUGAUGAGCACAUUGGACAAGAAUGGUAUAAGACAUGGCCAGCUUUUGACUGGCUUCUCAGCAAGUUCAUUCCCUUCCUGACAGGCAUAGCUACUUACACAGAACCAUCAAGCCGUGCCACUGUGCAUGCACUGUCUGGGCUCCUUCUCAGUGUCUGCCAACUUUUUGGUCACACCUUUACUCAAUGCAAAGUAAAGCCUGUCUUUUCUGCAUUGAUUCCUCUCAAUGAGGCCUUCACUCAAGAAGCAAAGAACAUGUUGACAAGUGCUGUGGGACCUGUAUAUGCAUCUGGCAUCCUGGCAGCUUUUUCUUGUGAGGCUGAUUGCAAGGAGCUGGUGGCCUUCUUGAAGAAUCUUCUGUUUAUAGUGUCACUUUGUGAACUUCCUUUGUCAAGUGUGGAAAGCAUCUUCAUUGAGCUUAGCAUGAACAAAAAUUACCAUGAAGUUCUGUUGUCGGUGCUUUGGGAAGGAGUGGUCCAUAACACUGCACUUGUCCGAAGCAAUGCAGGCCGCCUUUUUGAGCUUCUAGUUGGGACUGUGUCCGAUCCAUUGCUGAAAAGUCAUGUCACUCCAGCGCUUGUGACUCUUGCAAGUGACCCUGAAAUUUCUGUGCGCAUAGGAACAGUGAGACCAUUCGGAAUGAUUUUGGCAACAAGCAGUCAAAAAGAUUUGCUUGAUAAAGCAUUCAUGCAGCUGCAGACUUUUCUUGAAGACCCUCUGCACAGAGAUGACCGCUCAAUGCAAGCUGAGUUUAUCCAUAUGUUUGCGUCAUUAGGCCCAAAUACAGAGCCACGCUUUAGAGAUGAAUUCAUCUUACCUCACCUUGCAAUCUUGGCUAUGAGAAACAAUCAGAAUACAAAUGACUCAUCAAGGAUGGAAAUCAUGGAGUUGCUUCUUGAAGCCUACAGUGCAUUGUCUUGCACCUACAUUUCAGAACAUGCAAUCUCGGAUGCAUUCUUACCAGGCUUAAGAUGUUUGUUGGAAGAUGCAAGGCAAGUUGCACCUUGCCAUGAGUCGGCAGUUUCAGCCAUGAUUGCUGAUUUCGAAGCCAAAUUGGACUGCUGCAGAGAAAGAACCCCAUCACUGAGCUCGCCAAUGGCAAGUAUGGAGGAGAUGAAGCGGAAGAUGACGAAAAUCUUCACUGUGCCUCCUGCUAAUGCUCGUUCAAACCUUCCAAACAUCUUUCAGUUGCGAAAGAAAUGAGCAGAGGCAUUGCUAGUCAAGGCCUACAGGCUGCCAACCCUUCCUCCUGGUUAAAUAUCAAGGCUGGCCCCCGGACUUGGAUCAAGCAAAGUGACAUCUUCACCUUGUGAACCACCGCCCCAGCACUACUUUCAUGUCAAAAGUGAGCCCAAGCUGGAACUUUUAAACAGUCUACAAUGUAAAAGGUACUGGAAGGACACCAGUCUGCAUUGCAUCUAGUCAUGACCAGAGGAAAGAUGUGCUUUAUGUUUUUACAUAAUGCUAUACAAUGGACCCAUUAGGAUAUGUUGGAUGGGUCAAAUGAUAUACAGUGUCGCAUAAAACAGUAAUCUUUGUUUUUAAGGCGGUUUCUGCCAUGGAUUUUAUCUUUUAUGCUGAAGAGAGAUUUUGUACAUACAAUACUACAUAUUUUUGGAUGGCUUUUAUUGAAGAAAGGUCCUUUGAACUUGUGAUUUUUUCAUGAUGUAAGUCCAUAAGGACUCAUUGUAAAUACACUUGUGUAAACUGAAGUCUGUGGGGUCUAAGCCACAAGAAUAAAUUGCAUAUCUUACAAAGUGACUUAUCCCAUGGGCAUUCAGUGUAAACUUCAAUUUGUACAGUGUAGACCUUUAUGUAUUGUGAAAGUUGCAGUACUGCAUUAACAUUAUCCUUUAUCUUUGCAGUCAUCAUAAAUGUCUUAUGGAAUACCCAAUUAUGAAACACAUUACAUUAUGAGUGCAAUACUGGAAAGCUACAGAAAGCUUUUACUCAUAUGUUGCUGGCUCAUUAAUGUGGUCAUUGGUGCUGAGUGCCAAAAUCACAACUGCAGUGUCCACCAAACACAUGCACGAGUACAUCUUGGAGCACUAUCAUUGUUCUGCAUUACAUUCACUACAGUUAAAUGAGGAUUUGAUGCUAUCUAGCUCUCUCCAUUGGACAUAUAUACUGUGGCUUCUGUAACUGAGAGAGAGAGAGAGAAAACAUUAUUAAAUUAAAGGGGGGGUGAGGGUCUAGAGACUAGCCCCACCAGAGCUCCCCUUCCUGGGGCUUCUGUAAGGUUCACUACAUUAUUCUCUUUUAUAUUUGCAUGUAGUAUUUGGCCAAUACACCAUCCAGUGGAAAUAAACACAUUGCGUUGUAGGCAGUCUCAAGCAGUUUUGCUGUCUAUUUUUAAUCAUUCUCUUUGGACAUUGCUAAAAUAGAACAUCCAGAAGUGUUUGCAAGUGUGCACAGCAGCACAUAUGUAGUGUGGCCUAGGAAGUGUACCAUAAAUGAGGCCCUCCAUAUUUUCGUUAACGUAUUAGCGGGUGCAUAAGUUUGACAUUGUUAGUCUGGUGAAAUAAAGACACAAAAACUUAAUUGCAGCUUAGAGAGAAUAGAAAUGGUCUUCGAACUCAUUUUCCUUUUCUCAUUCGUAAAUUUUUGUUCUCUACUUCUGUAUUUAUGGCAUUGUUUUAUAAUACUAAGCCUUCUGAGUAUUUUUAAUUUUUUCUUUUGAUGAAUACUGUGAGCCUUGCAUAUAGGCCUAUACUGGAAGUGGAUUACAAAGUGUACCAUGAAAACAAUAAUGUAGGUUGAGUCUCUUUCCGUAAAUAAUUGUACGGAAACCAUCAAUGAUGGCUGUCAUUGGAAGUGAAUAGCUGAAUGCUUCUGGAAAGCUAUUCACUUUAUUAAAGGAAUGAUGCACUUCAAGGUGUGUAUUUUUGUCAGUGAGGAUAUUUAGGUAGAGUGUUUUGUGUCACUGCUUAAUUCUGUCGAGAACAGAGCUGUUAACCAUUACAUCUGUAGUGGCGCCAGAACCCUCAUGCAGCCACCACAGAAGGAAAGGGGUGUGGGAAAAGAGGUGGGCUGACCUUCACGAGCGCAGCACCACAUCAUCUGACUAUUUCCUUAACUUUGUCUAAACCUUCAGAUGUCUCAAAGCUGUCACGUUACAGCACAUGUCAGUGGACCCAGCUAUUCCCUUACAUGCACAGCUCUGUUCAUGUUACGAAGGCAUGUCUACAAGGCAGCGAAGUUCUACAUUUGCACUGUUGCCUUUUGCCUUGUGGUACAUUGCAUUGUGAAGGUUUCAACCUCCACAACAGUCCUGGCUUAACCCCUUUAAUACCCCCACCCCCCUUCAAAAGAUAAUUCCGAAAAAGCAUACCAAGUUUCCCAAUUUUUAAAUGUAGCAAUGAAGUUCUCUGUCAUUCUGAUUCUGAAAAUAUAUAACUUGAUUCUUGA